rnacentral:ncRNA from 2 species
UACGAAGGGGGCUAGCGUUGUUCGGAAUUACUGGGCGUAAAGCGCACGUAGGCGGACCUGUCAGUCAGAGGUGAAAUCCCGGAGCUUAACUUCGGAACUGCCUUUGAUACUGCAGGUCUUGAGGAUGGGAGAGGUGAGUGGAACUGCGAGUGUAGAGGUGAAAUUCGUAGAUAUUCGCAAGAACACCAGUGGCGAAGGCGGCUCACUGGCCCAUUACUGACGCUGAGGUGCGAAAGCGUGGGGAGCAAACAGG